GGGAGUGUAGUUUAACUGGCAAAAUACAUCAGUGUCAUUGAUGUUGACGCGGGUUCGAGCCCCGUCGCUCCCG